GUGGGGGUUUUUUUGGUUUUUUUUUUAGGCCUCACUCCACAGGUUCUUUGCUUCAUAAAGCACCAUUUUUGUACUUAUUGCUUCUGAUGUGAUUGAGCCUUUGCUGUGGUGUGACUUUGGGUGCACAUCUCGACAUCUCUGGAUCCAUGGUGAAGUUGUUGUGUUUGGGGCAUUUCGGGAAGGAUGUUUCAUUUUGUUGGGGGUGAGCCUGUUGUCUGAGCAGGGAGUGUUAUCCCAUCUGUGAGACAGGAGCAGCUGUACCUGAAGAAAGAGACUGAGGGGAGUGGGUUUUGCUGAACUGGUGAGGAAUAAAAGCAAAAGAAUGAUAUUAGCAUGUAAUUUUUGGUAGUUGAUGCAGCGCAUAAUAACUUCAAUUUCAAAGCUUCUAAUUCCCCUCACUUUGUACCUUAUUAAGACUCCAACCUAUAUUUAAUGGUGGGAAUAUCACUUUUUGCUUCCUUAAUUCUCUGUCUGCAAUUGAUCUACAUAAUCUGCUAAACCUGCACUCGGCUCUCUGAGGUGUGUGAGCCUUCUCACUGCACUCUGAGAGACACAAAAUUAUAACCUGAGCCUUCUCUUACAGUGUGUGUGUUAUUGUGGUUCCCUGCUUCCUUGUGCUACAAGCAGAAUUACAGAAGAGUAUAAAAUCUUAUUUUCAAAUAUUUAUGUCAUGUUCUCAAGGGUGUUCCCAGCAUGCCAGGCAGGUUUUUGCUCAAACUGCUCAAUUUCUUUUCCUUCACAUGGGAUGUUCUGUGUCCAGACAAAGAAAGAAGUUUGAGCUCCAUUUUCUUAGCACUAAUUCUGGCCAAAAGGUCUGGUUAAAAUUUUGUGCAAAUUCAGUUUGAUGGGGCUUGGCAAUUUCACACUCUCAUCAUGGAAGAGAUUUCAAGAGAGGCUCCUCCUGUCUCCAGAAUCAUCAUCCUCACUCUUACACAGAUCUAGCCAUGAAAUUAGGAUGGAUAAAAGAUUUUGCCACUAUGUCCCCCUCCAGUCAAUCCUGACCUGCGUUUGAAAUGAACUUUUGGUGUGGCACGUUCAUGUCUGCAGCAGACAGGGCUUCAGCUCUCUGCUCAUCCCACCUGCAGACAGCAGCUCCCUCUGCUUCCCUCAAGGCUCUUCGUGGUCCAGCAGCAGCACCAGCAGACACCAGCUGCUGGAUGUAGCUACUCCACAGCAAAAACCUGUGAUUUUUUCCUUGAUGGAGACCUCUCAGUCUUGUUGCUUUGCCCUCCUUCUCUGAAGAAGGAAGACUGAAGCAAAAGAAGGUUGAAGGACGUUCCUCAGCAACAUCUCUGAAGUUGCUGCCUGGCGCUGAGCCACGGUAGUCACUCAAAUCCACAUUAAGCUGUAUUUCUACAAGGAAGUGUUUGAGCUCAGUCUGACCUAUUUUCUGAAAUAAGGAUUUAAAAGUCCUCUCUUGCAUAAUGGGCUGUGUUGGCACAGCAUCAUGAAAGCAAAGUUGGAUCCCGAGUUCCCUCUGUACCAGCAAAGUACUCCUGGCUCAAACUAUUUCUGCUAAGCCAAACCCCAUUUUCUUUAAAAUAUGCUUGUCAUUUAUUUGGUUUAAAUAGUUUCCUUCCUUGUGAUAUUUUACCCUGUGAACUUUCCUUUUUCUUUUUUUUUUUAAAGUACAGGAAGCCAUGGGCCAUUUAUUGUGCAGUUCAUGCUCUCAGGUACUUCUGUUCCUUGCUGACAUGAAUUCCUUGUGCAGUUCAGACUCAGUGAGCUUUUGCAGUGCUGCUUUUCAAAGUUACACUGCAGAGACACUCUGCUCACACCCUCGAGCAUGCAGAACUCCUUGAAUCAACCCUUGCAGAAGGGAAAAGAAGCCUGGAAAGACUGAGGUUUACACCAGCUUCCUUAUUAUUUUUUUGUUUCAGGAGUCCUUUACUGGGUGCUGCCUGUCACAUCAGCUUCUCCAAGGGGGAAAUGAUCCUCUAGGAUUAGGUGCUGGAGGCACUUGUCCCUUCACUGCUCCUGUGCACUGGAUGGAACAAGAGAUUUGAUAUGUCUAUAAAAAAGAAAAAGCAAUUUUUUAUGGGCAAAAUAAACAAUUCUUGUACAACAUCCCUCCUCCUAAAGACAAGGCACUAAAAUGCUGGAAUUUCCUCCAAAUGGAGAAAGUGUGUUGGCAGUUCCAGCUCUGCAAUUGUUACCCAACUUCCAAGUACACCUACAAAAUAUUGCCUGCAGCACAACAGUGGAGAUGAUUAAAAGGAUUUUCUUUUUGUAAAGAUUAAAGACUUUAUUACUUCUCUGGUAAAUGUAAAAAUAUUAAUUGAAUGAAGUAUUAAUUGUCAGUAGAAGAAGAAAUGUGACUUAAAAUGCAUGUAAAGAUGUCGGAAUUUACAAAUGACCUGAUAAUGUAGGAACUAUAAAACACAAAAAAUACUUAAUUAAAGCAUACACAUUUGAGAAGGAAAAUAAUUGUAAUUUGAAGUGUUCUUCAUUUUAAUAGAUAGUUCCUCAACUUCA